GACGAACGCUGGCGGCGUGCUUAACACAUGCAAGUCGAACGGAAAGGCCCUGCUUUUGUGGGGUGCUCGAGUGGCGAACGGGUGAGUAACACGUGAGUAACCUGCCCUUGACUUUGGGAUAACUUCAGGAAACUGGGGCUAAUACCGGAUAGGAGCUCCUGCUGCAUGGUGGGGGUUGGAAAGUUUCGGCGGUUGGGGAUGGACUCGCGGCUUAUCAGCUUGUUGGUGGGGUAGUGGCUUACCAAGGCUUUGACGGGUAGCCGGCCUGAGAGGGUAACCGGCCACAUUGGGACUGAGAUGCGGCCCAGACUCCUACGGGAGGCAGCAGUGGGGAAUAUUGCACAAUGGGCGGAAGCCUGAUGCAGCAACGCCGCGUGCGGGAUGACGGCCUUCGGGUUGUAAACCGCUUUCGCCUGUGACGAAGCGUGAGUGACGGUAAUGGGUAAAGAAGCACCGGCUAACUACGUG
rnacentral:rRNA from 1 species